AUGAACGCUGGCGGCGUGCCUAAUACAUGCAAGUCGAGCGAACAGACGAGGAGCUUGCUCCUCUGACGUUAGCGGCGGACGGGUGAGUAACACGUGGAUAACCUACCUAUAAGACUGGGAUAACUUCGGGAAACCGGAGCUAAUACCGGAUAAUAUAUUGAACCGCAUGGUUCAAUAGUGAAAGACGGUUUUGCUGUCACUUAUACAUGGAUCCGCGCCGCAUUAGCUAGUUGGUAAGGUAACGGCUUACCAAGGCAACGAUGCGUAGCCGACCUGAGAGGGUGAUCGGCCACACUGGAACUGAGACACGGUCCAGACUCCUACGGGAGGCAGCAGUAGGGAAUCUUCCGCAAUGGGCGAAAGCUUGACGGAGCAACGCCGCGUGAGUGAUGAAGGUCUUCGGAUCGUAAAACUCUGUUAUUAGGGAAGAACAAAUGUGUAAGUAACUAUGCACGUCUUGACGGUACCUAAUCAGAAAGCCACGGCUAACUACGUG
rnacentral:rRNA from 1 species